rnacentral:rRNA from 1 species
CGGCUCAGUAACACGUGGAUAACCUACCCUUGAGACGGGGAUAAACCCGGGAAACUGGGUAUAAUACCCGAUAGAUCUCGACUGCUGGAAUGCAUCGAGCUUGAAAGCUCCGGCGCUCAAGGAUGGGUCUGCGGCCUAUCAGGUAGUAGUGGGUGUAGCGUACCUACUAGCCUACGACGGGUACGGGUUGUGAGAGCAAGAGCCCGGAGAUGGAUUCUGAGACACGAAUCCAGGCCCUACGGGGUGCAGCAGGCGCGAAAACUUUACAAUGCUGGAAACAGCGAUAAGGGGACCUCGAGUGCCAGGUUACAAAUCUGGCUGUCGUGAUGCCUAAAAAGCAUUGCAUAGCAAGGGCCGGGCAAGACCGGUGCCAGCCGCCGCGGUAACACCGGCGGCUCGAGUGGUAACCGUUAUUAUUGGGUCUAAAGGGUCUGUAGCCGGCCGGAUAAGUCUCUUGGGAAAUCUGGCAGCUUAACUGUCAGGCUUUCAGGAGAUACUGUCUGGCUCGAGGCCGGGAGAGGUGAGAGGUACUUCAGGGGUAGGGGUGAAAUCUUGUAAUCCUUGAAGGACCACCAGUGGCGAAGGCGUCUCACCAGAACGGACCUGACGGCAAGGGACGAAAGCUAGGGGCACGAACCGGAUUAGAUACCCGGGUAGUCCUAGCCGUAAACGAUACUCGCUAGGUGUCG